rnacentral:lncRNA from 1 species
GAAUCAUUUACUCCAAGCAAGCGCUGUAACUGAAGCCCGAGCCCAGCCCUCCGUACCACCACAGACUUCUGAAGCUGGGAAAGCUUUAGAAGCUGGGAGUUUUCUGAUUCUCUCAUCAUUAUGUUUCUCCUCAGUCUUUAGAUAGAGGGAUCCAGUGGCCAUUGUUUGAAGCUGUGAAAGUGAAGCUUGUAUUGUGUUGGAGACAUCAAGACGUUGGAGAUAACAGAGCAAUGACAGGAUAUCUGUCAAUACUAGCUGCAAACAGGAAGCAGCUCAAGAAAGAGAAAGUUUGGAGUGUUUAAUGUGACCACAUGGCUGAAAUUCAAGCUCAUUGUUUGAUGCUUAGAAAUACUCCAGGAAUCCACUCCAUCUCCACCCUCCCAUCUGCUCCAAAGAACAGAACAUUCUUCAGUCCUGAGGACCUGAGGAUUCUGACUCCUGACUCCA